rnacentral:tRNA from 1 species
GCCAGCGUAGCUCAGUUGGUAGAGCGGCUGAUUCGUAAUCAGCAGGUCGAGGGUUCGAUUCCCCCCGCUGGCU